GACGAACGCUGGCGGCGUGCUUAACACAUGCAAGUCGAACGAAGAGCGAUGGAAGCUUGCUUCUAUCAAUCUUAGUGGCGAACGGGCGAGUAACGCGUAAUCAACCUGCCCUUCAGAGGGGGACAACAGUUGGAAACGACUGCUAAUACCGCAUACGAUCUAACCUCGGCAUCGAGGAUGGAUGAAAGGUGGCCUCUAUGUAUAAGCUAUCACUGAAGGAGGGGAUUGCGUCUGAUUAGCUAGUUGGAGGGGUAACGGCCCACCAAGGCGAUGAUCAGUAGCCGGUCUGAGAGGAUGAACGGCCACAUUGGGACUGAGACACGGCCCAGACUCCUACGGGAGGCAGCAGUGGGGAAUCUUCCGCAAUGGGCGAAAGUCUGACGGAGCAACGCCGCGUGAGUGAUGACGGCCUUCGGGUUGUAAAGCUCUGUUAAUCGGGACGAAAGGCCUUCUUGCGAACAGUUAGAAGGAUUGACGGUACCG
rnacentral:rRNA from 1 species